GGGGGCGUACCGGAUUUCGACGGGGAUUUUGAAGUAGGAUAAGCGAGCAGCGCGCAGACCGCUAUAACCUGCAAACUUUUUAAAUUUAAACGCUAACAGAAAUCAGUUAGUUGCUGCCUAACUAAAGGCGGCCGUCUCUGCCGGGAGUACCGCGGCUUGGACAGAGGCGUCGAUUAGCGGUGAACGUUAACCGAGCGAUUGCCGUAACUCGGUAACGGCCAACGGCAUGUUCCGUAAUGAGAUUUGCUUAUUGUUCUCCUUGCGGCGAAAACGAACAACAAGCUACGCUCGUAGAAAGUCCCAUGGAUGAGUUUUCGGACAGGGGUUCAACUCCCCUCGCCUCCACCA
rnacentral:tmRNA from 1 species